UGUGAACUGAAGGACACAUGAACACCGACACGUUGAACGCAUAUGGCGCAUCGGACGUUUAAACCCGACCGAUGUACACAUUCUUGAGU
rnacentral:rRNA from 1 species